rnacentral:rRNA from 1 species
UACGUAGGGGGCAAGCGUUGUCCGGAAUCAUUGGGCGUAAAGCGCGUGUAGGCGGCCAGAAAAGUCCGCUGUGAAAACUCGAGGCUCAACUUCGAGCUGUCGGUGGAAACUUUCUGGCUAGAGUCCGGAAGAGGAGAAUGGAAUUCCUGGUGUAGCGGUGAAAUGCGCAGAUAUCAGGAAGAACACCCGUGGCGAAGGCGGUUCUCUGGGACGGGACUGACGCUGAGACGCGAAAGCGUGGGGAGCGAACAGG